rnacentral:rRNA from 1 species
GAUGAACGCUGGCGGCGUGCCUAAUACAUGCGAGUCGAGCGAACAGACGAGGAGCUUGCUCCUCUGACGUUAGCGGCGGACGGGUGAGUAACACGUGGAUAACCUACCUAUAAGACAGGGAUAACUUCGGGAAACCGGAGCUAAUACCGGAUAAUAUAUUGAACCGCAUGGUUCAAUAGUGAAAGACGGUUUUGCUGUCACUUAUAGAUGGAUCCGCGCCGCAUUAGCUAGUUGGUAAGGUAACGGCUUACCAAGGCAACGAUGCGUAGCCGACCUGAGAGGGUGAUCGGCCACACUGGAACUGAGACCCGGUCCAGCCUCCUACGGGAGGCAGCAGUAGGGAAUCUUCCGCAAUGGGCGAAAGCCUGACGGAGCAACGCCGCGUGAGUGAUGAAGGUCUUCGGAUCGUAAAACUCUGUUAUUAGGGAAGAACAAAUGUGUAAGUAACUAUGCACGUCUUGACGGUACCUAAUCAGAAAGCCACGGCUAACUACGUG